rnacentral:pre_miRNA from 1 species
AGGGGGAUAGCUGGGUCAAAUGGUGGUUCCAGUUUUCCAAGGAAUCUCUAUACCACUUUCCAGAUUGUCUGUACCAAUUUGCAGUCCCACCAGCAAU